GAUGAACGCUAGCGGCAGGCCUAAUACAUGCAAGUCGAACGAGAUUACGAGGCUUGCUUCUUAUGAAAGUGGCGCACGGGUGCGUAACGCGUAUGCAACCUACCUUAAUCAGGGGGAUAGCCCGAAGAAAUUCGGAUUAGGACCGCAUAAAAACACAGGAUAGCAUUAUCCAAUGUUCAAAUAUUUAUAGGAUUAAGAUGGGCAUGCGUGUCAUUAGCUAGUUGGCGGGGUAACGGCCCACCAAGGCGACGAUGACUAGGGGAUCUGAGAGGAUGACCCCCCACACUGGUACUGAGACACGGACCAGACUCCUACGGGAGGCAGCAGUAAGGAAGAUUGGUCAAUGGAGGGAACUCUGAACCAGCCAUGCCGCGUGCAGGAAGACAGCCCUCUGGGUCGUAAACUGCUUUUAUUCGGGAAUAAACCUUUCUACGUGUAGGAAGCUGAAUGUACCGAAGGAAUAAGGAUCGGCUAACUCCGUG
rnacentral:rRNA from 1 species